UACGUAGGGUGCAAGCGUUGUCCGGAAUUAUUGGGCGUAAAGAGCUCGUAGGCGGUCUGUCGCGUCGGCUGUGAAAUCCCGAGGCUCAACCUCGGGUCUGCAGUCGAUACGGGCAAACUGGGAGUGUUGCAGGGGAGACUGGAAUUCCUGGUGUAGCGGUGAAAUGCGCAGAUAUCAGGAGGAACACCGGUGGCGAAGGCGGGUCUCUGGGCAACAACUGACGU
rnacentral:rRNA from 1 species